GAUGAACGCUGGCGGCGUGCCUAAUACAUGCAAGUCGAGCGAACGGACGAGAAGCUUGCUUCUCUGAUAUUAGCGGCGGACGGGUGAGUAACACGUGGAUAACCUACCUAUAAGACUGGGAUAACUUCGGGAAACCGGAGCUAAUACCGGAUAAUAUUUUGAACCGCAUGGUUCAAAAGUGAAAGACGGUCUUGCUGUCACUUAUAGAUGGAUCCGCGCUGCAUUAGCUAGUUGGUAAGGUAACGGCUUACCAAGGCAACGAUGCAUAGCCGACCUGAGAGGGUGAUCGGCCACACUGGAACUGAGACACGGUCCAGACUCCUACGGGAGGCAGCAGUAGGGAAUCUUCCGCGAUGGGCGAAAGCCUGACGGAGCAACGCCGCGUGAGUGAUGAAGGUCUUCGGAUCGUAAAACUCUGUUAUUAGGGAAGAACAUAUGUGUAAGUAACUGUGCACAUCUUGACGGUACCUAAUCAGAAAGCAACGGCUAACUACGUG
rnacentral:rRNA from 1 species